CGGCCUUCCAAAGUGCUGGGAUUACAGGCGUGAGCCACCUCGCGCCCGGCCAAAUGAAAUAAAAUGUUAAAGUAAAUUCAGGACUACCCCUCCUCCACGUCUUCUGUCCCCUUUGGGUGCCUAGCGCCCCGCGGCCCCUCGAGCCCCUUCAGUGACCAAGAUGCAGAAAUCAGGACGCCAUUGCACCGCCCCAGGUGCCCGCCCCUAGCUGGCUCUGCCUGGGCCCGAGGGAAGGUGAGGUCGGGGGCUGGGCCGGGGCGUGGCAGCGGGGGUGUGUGUCCGCCUGGCUUGGUGCCUCCGGUGGCCCGGCAGCACCGUCCCACCUCUGCCACCCUCCGAUGGGGCCGUUACCUGUGUGCCUGCCAGUCAUGCUUCUCCUGCUGCUGCUGUCGCUGCUGCUGCUGCUGCUUGGACCUGGCCCCGGUCCGGUGAGGCCUCCAGGACAUUACAUGUGCACCGGCGUGGGAUCCUGGAACUGGCAGGAACUGUGGGUUGUGUUGGUCCCCGAACCCCCAUCGCCUAUAUGAAAUAUGGUUGCUUUUGUGGCUUGGGAGGCCAUGGCCAGCCCCGCGAUGCCAUUGACUGGUGAGUGCAUGCCUGGGACCAGGCUACAAAAGCCCUCACACUCUGGGGUAGUCAAGGCUUAUGAGGAAGUACCCAAAACCGAAGCUGGGGUUUGGUCCCAGGAGAUCCCAGUGUGCAGAACUACUUUGCAGGCAGGCAGAGGCCUCUUGGAUAACAUGGCCAAUGAGGCCAGAUCUUGGUACCAGCUGCCCCUUACCCCGGCCAUGUGCUGAUUACGUUGCCUUAAAAAA